rnacentral:rRNA from 1 species
UACGGGGGGGGCAAGCGUUGUUCGGAAUUACUGGGCGUAAAGGGUGCGUAGGCGGCUUUCUAAGUUGGAUGUGAAAACUAUGGGCUCAACCCAUAGCCUGCAUCCAAAACUGGAGAGCUUGGGUUCUGGAGGGGAAGGCGGAAUUCCUGGUGUAGCGGUGAAAUGCGUAGAUAUCAGGAGGAACACCGGUGGCGAAGGCGGCUUUCUGGACAGACACCGACGCUGAGGCACGAAAGCUAGGGGAGCAAACAGG